UUCCCAGGCACUGCAGGGGAACCAGAGGAGAUCAGUUAUGUAUCUUAGAUGUGAUCCAUAUUUCAUGCUAAGGCUGGGAAUUCACAUGAUUAGGAAAGAUCAAAUGGAGUUUAAGUCCAUGUGGUCCAACCGACUCUACAGGGGUUAGAAACAAGUGAGCAGGUACUGGAAAAAGAACAACCAGAGCAAAGAACAACCAGUGACAACACACUCAAGUAUUCAGGGCUGAAACUUUUAGGGUCACGAGGACAGCCAACUAUUUGGCUUCUGAGAAAAAGAGGAGAGAAGGAGCUGGCAUGAGGCGAGGAGGAGGGGAGAGGGGAUGUUUGGGGGGACAGGGAUGUUUGAGUCACAGCGACAUGGAACUGGAAUUUAGAAAAUGUACCCUGUCAGAUUUGAGAGCUGUUGCAUCAGAUUAGGAAUAUAACAUUUUCUAAGUGUGUGUGUGUGUGUGUGUGUGUGUGUGUGUGUGUGGUGAGAAAAGCAGAGAAGAAGAAUUUUGUCUUCCCACGUGGAAUCUGACACAUGAUAUGAAGCGGACUGCGACCUUUUUAUUGGCAAAGAUUUAAAAGCACAAACACUGAGCUUAGACUUAGUGCAGGCAGGUAUAACUGCUCAUACUCUUCAGUGCAGUGUUUAAGUCUUCAGUCAGUGCUGCCUCUGCAAGCCACUUUGCAACUCAUCUCCUCAUCAGCUCUGCAGUCUCAUUUUUUCCCUCUACAUCAGCACAUAUAAACAUAUAAAAUCAUUUCUAUACACGACUGGCUAAAAUGAAUCCUGUCAUCCGGUUUGAUUUUAUUUCGUUUCUCCUUCAGUGAGGAAACACCGAGUGUGGACGUGAGAACAUGAAAGGCCAGUUUAAAGGGGAUGACUGAUAAUACCCACUCAGGUGGUGAGUGAUAACGCCCUGUGGCUUCACUCUGUGGGUGAUGGCAUGAAUAACUGUGCUGACAUUCAUGCUCACUUUCUCCUCCAGUCUAAUCAAGUACAAACAAAGUGACACAAACACACUCAGCAACGAACAUUUGAAACAUGUUUACUGCAAUUGCCCCAGUUUUAUAAAACAUUUCAGACAGAACAAUUAACUGAUUUCUCUAAAAUGUAAGGAGCUGAUAAUCUAAUAAAACUAAUAUGUAGUUGUGGCUAUAGAAACUGAGGCUGAGCACGGUGCAGCCUGUAAGACCAGGAAAAAUGUGUGCAGGGUGAGGAAGGAGGAAGCAUCACUGGAGUAAACAAAUUCUCUUCCCACAUCCUCAUGCAGAUUAGAGCCCCGCAGAGCUCAGCCCCCAAAAAUGAAUAAUACUGGAUUGUUAUUAUUUAUCUGGGCUCGACUACCAACACACACGGGAUGUGAAUAUGGGAAAUCAGUUAAUCAGUUUAGCAUCAAGUACAUUAAACCUCUGUGAUAUUGAUAUUGGUCAGGUAUCAGAGGGGGUUAUUAAUCAGUUUCAGCUGCUUUGGUUUUAAUGAAGUUAACAUUAGGUGCACUAGAGGGGCAACCAUGAGACAACCCCCCAAACAGGAACAGUUUUCAGGUGGAGGACACUCAUUUUUCCCUCCUCGUCUUUUCUGACUGUUUUUCACAUGUGUUGUAUUUAGCUCAGGGUCAGGGUCACUGCUGGACCCACUGUCAGACCCUACGCUGGUGCAGUGGGUCCUGGGUUCCACGGCAAUGCCUGGUGAUGAAGGAGGAUGAAGGAACUGAUACCACUGACUGCCCCCCCCUGACCUAAAUCCAACAGAACAGCUCUGGAACAUUAUGUUUGGUCCAUCUGAUGCUGCCAGGCUGCACCUCAGACCGUCCAGGAGCUCAGCAUCGUCUCAUUAGAAGGGUGUCCUUGAAUUCAGCCCUCUGGAGGCUCACGAACGAUAUGGGAUCCUUUCAUUCCUCACACGUUACCUGGUAUCAGUGCAGAUUUGCAGCAUUGAGAUCUGAUGGGUUUUCAAAGGGUUCCCUUCAUUUUUUGGACCAGUGUUUAACAAAUUUCUUAAACCACCACCCAAUGUAAGGUCUAUGCCACAGCUGCCCUAAAUUCACAGUACUGGUAAUUACCAGCAUCAUGCUUAUGUUUCUGUAAUGGUUAAUCUACCAGUAUACACAAAGUUAAUCAAAGUCAUAUCUGUAAUGCUAAAAUAUAAUUAGUGAUAUCCAUGAAUUCACAAAUUUAGUGCUUCACAGAAAAAGAAGUCAGUUGUUGUAUUUAAUCACUGACUGCUCACAGCUCAGCUCUGCUGCAGACAGCAUUAUAAACAGUGGAGAUGACACCAAACCCAACAGUUUAUCCUGCAGGACAAACUGCACAACAUAUACAACAUAUACGCGAUACCAAAAUAUGUGUGCGAUAAUAUCAGCUGAACCGUAUACCUGAGUCAGGCCCUCCUCUUCUGACAUAAAGAUUGAACAUAAAGAUUUAUGUGGUUUCCUUUCAUGAAUCAUUACCGCCAAUCAUUUUAGACACUUGUUUCUUUGACAGCCUUAUUUAUUAUAGUCACACACAUCUCAGGGAUUUAGUUUUGAUAACACUUAAGAAUGAAAAGCCAGUGAAGUGUGUCUCUGCAAAAGCAUCUCUGCUUACAGAACAUAUUUACUCAGAAAUAUAAACCUUAAAAUGAUUCUUUAAGCAGCAGCAAUGCUUCAUUAUCACACAUAACGAAAAGCUAAUUAGUGCUUUCACAUUAGAGAAGGGACAUUAGAGACGUGUGGUUACAAAGCAGAGGCAGGAUUUUAAAGGCACAUUCCUCAAGUGCUAAUAGGCUCAAUUGAAGUAAUUUAAAACACAGGUAUGUUGACGCCUUGGAAACUCUCCCAGCAGCCCAUUAAUCCACCAGCAGCAGGUUAACCAUUCAGAUCGGAGGCACGCACACACGCAGACACACACACACACACACACUGAAACACUGCACUGCCUUCUGAGGAAUGCUAACUGCAACAAAGCAGGGAAACAACACUUAUCACAGUCGGUGUUUAUGUGAUUUUUUUCCUCUCCUUUCCAUCCCGUCCUCUCUGCCUUCAUUCCUCGCUCCGUCUCCCUUUCUUUGUGUCUCGGCCCCAUUUAUUACCAGUUUUGUAGUACAGUAUGCUCAAUACAUAAACAAAUACAGCUGCUGCACUUCAUCAAGCCUUUGAUUAGUCUUGUUGACUGCACCACAGCCCACGAGAACACAAGAGAAACUGAGAAAUACGCCACAAACUCCCCCAGGAGAACCGUUUCUGGAAACUCAGUAUUGUUUGUAAGGAGGUGGGAGUCGCCAUUAUGUGUUUCUGCUGCGUUUAUGCUUUGUUUUUCUAUGGAGAUCAUAAAUUCUCCAGGCUGUAAAUUGGAACAGUUUACAGUUAUACAAUAAAGGACUUAUUAUUGGACAGAAUGAGAGAAGCAUUUGUAUCCAGCAGAGUGACUUUGCAAGUGGGAUAUUCAAAGCGCAUUAGAGUGAGUGUGUGUGUGUGUGUGAGAGAGAGUGUGAGAAAGAGACAGCUGUACUGUAUGUUGUACAUGUUUACUGUACUAAUGCCUGUUUUUAUCCCAUCUGAGCAUUUCUGCAGCUUCGUGGCGGCUGUGUCACAAUGUGACUGUGACAGAGAUCAAUGUCUGAGCCCAGGGCCCUGGGAUAGUGACUAACCAUCUAAUUAGAGGGAACAGGCAGGAGCCAAAGCUUUAAAUGAAUAAUUAGUGCUCUCAGAGUCCACGCAGAACAAUGCAGAGACGAGAUGAAAAAUGACCACAUCCCACAUCACUCACAACACCAAACUGUGUGUCCUGAGGAGCUUCAUGAGACCUGAUACGAGGGUAGCUGUGAGUGAUGCCUGAACCUGCCUCAGUAUGCUGGCUGGGAGAGCUGGCUGCGGUGAAAGCUGGUACGAGACCACCUUAGGGAAAUAUUCUGCCUCUAAAAACAAUGACAGAGUGAGAGAAAUACAGCAGCGGCAGAAACCCGAAGGCAUCCCCGGUUCAGGCAACCACAGCAGCCACGAGGCCGGGCUGUGGUGCUUCACUCUGGGCUUCCAAACCACAUGUCCAACUCGUCUUGACCUCUUGCUUAUUUUGAUUCGCACUUGUCUUCGUCUCAGACACUCAUUCAACCAUUUACUUUAAUUUUUCUGUCAUUCAUAACAUACUAAAUAAAAACUUUUCCAACCUAAUCCCUUUUUCCCAGCACUUGAAUUUAAGGAACACCACCAAUCUGUAAUCAUCUGGUGUUGGAUGGUGUUAGAUGGUGACACAAUGGGUGUUACUCAGGAAAAAAAAACAGACAUGCCUCCAUUAAACACGUCUCAAGACCUUGGUGAGA